rnacentral:lncRNA from 1 species
AUGGGAGUUCCCCCUACGGAAGCUCUCUUGCCUGCCGCCAUGAUUGUGAGGCCUUCUCCUCCCUGUGGAACGUCUCAUAUAUUAUUUUCAUUAGCAACUUCAGACGCAGGCAAGAAGGGGUGCUGCUUUGGACUGCAUAUUUUGUCAAACUCAAUUCGAUCCUUCCCCAGCCUAACCCCAGUUUUCAAGGAGAUUGCAAGAGGACAACUUGGCUCUAAAAUCGACGCAUGAACAUGCCAUUGGAAUUGUUGAUGAUUCUGAUUUUAUUCCAUUUUGUUUGGAGUACAUUCCUGAUUGAUCUCUACUGCUUUACAUUUACUCAUUCUGUUUAAGGCUUGGCAUUUGAUCUAUUCUGGAAAAUGUACCAUGAGCACUUGGGAAGAAUGUGUACUCUGUUGUUGUUGAGUCAAGUGUUCAAUGCAUAUUUAUUAGGUCUUGUUGAUUGUUAACUUUACUACUGCCUUGUUAGUCUUCUUCAUAGUUGCUCUAACCGUUAUUAAACGAAGGACAUUGAAGUCUCCAAUUAUUGUGGAAAUGUCUUUUCUCCCCUGAGUUCUGUCAGUUUUGCUUAGUGUACUGUUAUCGCUUUUUAGGUACAUAUAUAUUCAUAAUUCUAAUGUGUUUCUAAUGAGUUGAUUAUUGUAUGAUUAUCAAAUAUCCCUCUUUUUCUUUUGGUAACUGUUUUGGUGUUACUUUAUUUGAUAUUGGUAUAGCCACCAGAUUUCUUGUGUUGCCAACAAGAAAU